GCAGCAGUAGUGUGACUUCUAGAUGGUGAACCAAUACUGCAAGUUAUUUCUCCCUCGCCCAUCGAAAUAAACAUCACUUUCUUUUACAAGUUUUAAAUUGCACCAUGCUGUUGCUGGCUAGCCAGCAUAAACUAGCUAGCUAAGAAGGGUUCAUCAGGACAAUUUACUGAACCAAAUCCAUUCGACAUGCGUCAUCAAUUUGGGCACCAGGCGUGUCCGUAUAGCCUCUCCCCUUUAGCUUGGCAGCUGUUUUUAUGUUAACUCGAUUGUUUGUGCUCGACAAAAUUCUGCAACCAGACCAUGUUGUGGAUUCUUAUGACUGGAGGACUCAUUGACUAGCUGGCUACAACAACCUGGAGGUGGCAGAGCAUCUCCAGAAGCAAAGGGCUGACAUCAACGCACAGGACAAAGGAGGCCUCAUCCGUUUGCACAAUGCUGCCUAAUACAGGGUCCGUCACCUCAAAGAUUACAUCAGGCUUUUGAAGAUGUUUUACAUGCAAACCGCGUUUUUGCCUCAGCUCCUGCUUUUCCCAGUUUCUCUUUCUUUGACCCUUGCCUGUCCUGACUCGGAGCCCGCCUGCCUGACCACUCUGCCUGACCCUGACCUGCACCAUUGCCCUACCUCUAGAUUAUUGACCACUGCCUACCUUGAGCCUGCCUGCCUGCCAUCCGGUACCCCACCUCUGGUUUACUGAGCCCUGCCUGUCUAUUGCCUGCCCUUGUUGAUUAUUAAACCAUUGUUAAUUCGA